AUCCAGCCGACGAGUCCCGAAUAGGACGAAAUGCGCAUCCUGGAU
rnacentral:hammerhead_ribozyme from 1 species